rnacentral:rRNA from 1 species
GACUGAUGGGAGCUUGCUCCCUGAUGUUAGCGGCGGACGGGUGAGUAACACGUGGGUAACCUGCCUGUAAGACUGGGAUAACUCCGGGAAACCGGGGCUAAUACCGGAUGGUUGUUUGAACCGCAUGGUUCAUACAUAAAAGGUGGCUUCGGCUACCACUUACAGAUGGACCCGCGGCGCAUUAGCUAGUUGGUGAGGUAACGGCUCACCAAGGCGACGAUGCGUAGCCGACCUGAGAGGGUGAUCGGCCACACUGGGACUGAGACACGGCCCAGACUCCUACGGGAGGCAGCAGUAGGGAAUCUUCCGCAAUGGACGAAAGUCUGACGGAGCAACGCCGCGUGAGUGAUGAAGGUUUUCGGAUCGUAAAGCUCUGUUGUUAGGGAAGAACAAGUGCCGUUCAAAUAGGGCGGCACCUUGACGGUACCUAACCAGAAAGCCACGGCUAACUACGUGCCAGCAGCCGCGUUAAUACGUAGGUGGCAAGCGUUGUCCGGAAUUAUUGGGCGUAAAGGGCUCGCAGGCGGUUUCUUAAGUCUGAUGUGAAAGCCCCCGGCUCAACCGGGGAGGGUCAUUGAAAACUGGAGAACUUGAUUGCAGAAGAGGAGAGUGGAAUUCCACGUGUAGCGGUGAAAUGCGUAGAGAUGUGGAGGAACACCAGUGGCGAAGGCGACUCUCUGGUCUGUAACUGACGCUGAG